UACGUAGGGGGCAAGCGUUGUUCGGAAUUACUGGGCGUAAAGCGCGCGUAGGCGGUUUGAAAAGUCAGAUGUGAAAUCCUGGAGCUCAACUCCAGAACUGCCUUUGAUACUGGCGAGCUUGAGUCCGGGAGAGGUGAGUGGAACUGCGAGUGUAGAGGUGAAAUUCGUAGAUAUUCGCAAGAACACCAGUGGCGAAGGCGGCUCACUGGCCCGAU
rnacentral:rRNA from 1 species